CCAUAUGCAUAAGAUGCAGUGUACCUUGGUUGAGUUAAUGAACAUGUUAGUUAUGGCUGAGCUUUCUUUGAAGGGUUCAAAAGGCUCAGUCCUUAUUGUGGAGCGGACUUCUUCCAAGAGAAAGUCUUUUGGAAAGAAGAAGAAGUCUGUGAAGAAGCAGAAGGUGGAUGGGAAGAAGAAGAAGAUGGAACCGAAGAAGAAGGCU
rnacentral:lncRNA from 1 species